rnacentral:rRNA from 1 species
UACGUAGGGUGCGAGCGUUGUCCGGAAUUAUUGGGCGUAAAGAGCUCGUAGGCGGUGUGUCACGUCGGCCGUGAAAACCUGCAGCUUAACUGUGGGCGUGCGGUCGAUACGGGCAUCACUGGAGUUCGGCAGGGGAGACUGGAAUUCCUGGUGUAGCGGUGAAAUGCGCAGAUAUCAGGAGGAACACCGGUGGCGAAGGCGGGUCGCUGGGCCGAUACUGACGCUGAGGAGCGAAAGCGUGGGGAGCAAACAGG